UUGGGAUUCGAACGGCAGGCGGGAAGUGCUCUAGCAGGGGAGUCUGACCUUGUGAGGGAAUACCUGUGUCCCCCCUUUUUUCCCCUUUUUACCCAAUAAAACCCUGCCUUACUCACCCUUUAAAUCAUCUGCGAGCCUGAAUUUUCAUGGCCGUGGGACGGACAAGAACUUUAUCUUCAGCUGAACUAAGAAAAAGUCCUGCAACAUUUUUGGCGCGCAAUGUGGGGGCACCAGAAGCGGGCACCGUUGAGCUGUUGCAACUGUUCUGCUGGAGCCUUAUGUAUGUGGUUGAAACCACCUGUACUACUGGAAUGAAAGCACCUUUACAGAAGAGGCAAUGCAAGUUGUAUUCAUCACAUGUGUAGAAUGAAUUAAGAUUUAUGCCAGUUGCAAAGAAGAAUAUUGGCUCACUAUUUUUCCUCUGGGCAUAAGAAUUCCAAAUGUGCUACCAUCCAUGUAGUUUUACUUGAAAAACCCCCUUGGAAAUUAACAAUAAGGCACUGACUGGAGCUGAAUUUGCAAAUGUUUUAGGAAGAAACUUUAUCUCAGACUACCCUUGAUGUAUCAAAAUAUUUAAAGCAAUUGGCAAAGGCAGUGAGCAAUUCACUCUCAGGCACAUGAAUAUCACCGGGAGAGGGCUGAAUGUUCAGGGGUACAAGCAAUUUUCCAGUCUUGACCCUUUAUCUGUUGACCAAGCUAAGGCAGAAACCAGCUAAAUUCUGGAUUUAAUCUUGAGCAGCAAAAAAGAUCAGCUUUUGAAGUGGAUCUGCUUUUAUUCUUGGCAAAAGUUCAGCGGAGACCAACCAGAGUGGUGACAAAGUUCUUCAACAUCAAGCCAAAUGUAAUACAAGGAAUUACGGAUAGUGCUUAAUCUAAAAUAAAGAAAUUCCACAUCUCCCUAAAAAGUUAUUGGCUUCAAGAAUGAAAACAAAAGAAGCAUAUUUGUCUCAAUCCAAACACAGACACCAGAAAGACAAACCAGGAGUAUACAGCAAAGUAGCUUGCAGGAUAAUACAUUGAAAAAUGUAAUUGUGCAUAAAUCAUGCACAAAGUAGAAACCACAAAUUCUGUAUUUGGCAAGGCUUCGGUUCCUUUGCAUAAUUCUUUCAUUUUCAUCUUGCUGCUUCCAUUCUCUUUUCAUCAAAAAAAGCUACAUAAAACAAAGACAUAAACUGUAUGCAAUUAAAAUGAGAAAAUAGCUGAAAGGAAUGUAUUGAUAAUUAUGUUAAAAUCUAUACCAUAAGUAUUCUUGCAUUGUUAAGCAUCUAAUUUUUCAUGUGUUGACAUCAGCAUCUCAGUUCUCUCUAACAUCUGAAAGCUUUUUUUUUUAAGGCAACUUCUUUUAGAGUGAACAAACUUAUGUACCACCGAGUUGACAAAAGUAUAACUAUAUCCUACAGAAAGAGACCUCAAGUAAACCUCCAGCAGCCAUCUGGACUUCCAUGAAAACAGAACAAUCAGUGAGAUGCAGAGCUUGGAGGAGACAGUUUCCAUAGACUGAAGCACGUGCUGAAGCAAAGUUCACACUUGCAGGAUUAGAAGAGGUUGACCGAAAGAAGGAAGGACAUGGACAGCUAUGUUGUUGUGGAGUCCUGUUUUAUAGUCAUAACCUUGAGUCAAGUGAGUUUGUCUGGACAGACAGAGCUUGUUGCCUUUACUUAUAGGGAAGGCACCGGACACAGACAGCCUCAAGGACAUUUGUUCUAGCCUUUCAGUAUCCUUUCUCUUAAUUAUCUCACCUCAUCCAUGAAGCUGGUGUGUGUGGUGAUGGUGUAUUCUGGAGCCUUGAGAUGGCAUUGAAACUGAUAGAGGGUCACACAAGACUUGGGUACAGAGUACAGUGGAGAAUGCCUCCAUCAAAGGGAAAUCAGAAAAUGUCUUGAUGAGGAAAGAACCAGCUCCAGUCAGGAUUAUCUUCUGCACAACUAAGGACUGUCCCUCAAAAUGUUUCCUUUUUCACCUGAGCAGUCCAACACCGGGAAGCAAAAGAGGAAAAGAUGGAGAAGAUUAUUUCUGCUGGCCUCCAGGAAGCAGGGUUGUUUUCUUUCUUGACUGUGAUCUGGAAAUGUACAACCAGAGGAUCUCAAUAAAUGCUCCAAUGUGUGACCAGCUAAUUUUAUUAACAUCAGUUCUCUAUGAAAUGAUGCUGCAUUUACUCGGUAACAGAAUGAAGUGGCAUAAAUGAGAGGCGGUGGACACUAACCUGUGACUGAGAGAGAGGAGCUACCACCGAUGAAGACUGGUCAUUUGGGUUUCACAUUUCUCUGUGAAUGAACAGUUUUGAAAAACUAAGCCUCGUGUAUCUAUUCUCCUUUAAAAGUACUGCCUUCCUAAGGAAAACACCCUCAAUGUAUUCAUUUUGUUUCAGUUCUUUGUCUGGAGCUGUUGCUACAACUGCUUUAAUGAGAGACAAUUUUUUUUUCUGUCAUCCACAGUGUCUUUUGCAGCCCUCUUUUGAAUUAAUAAAACGCAUUUUCAAAGUGUUUUGUUGGACUUAGAAGUGCUCUUAUAAUCCUCCACAAAGUGAAACUAACCAUAACUUCAUGAACGAUUUAAUAAACUAGUAUCCAGUUAUUCCAAAGAGCCAUUUAUUCAUUUAUUAAGCCAAUUAUUAAGCCUUGAGACACGUAAUUACCUGGAAUUUAAGAGACUAUAUUCUCAUUGCUCUUACCAAAAACUAUCACCUCAAAUUUCACUUGCAAGUUACUGUCUGCCUAACUCAAGACAGUUAUUUGUGAUAACAAAGAAGUUUAUCACCAUUCUAUGUAAAAGAGUCUGCUUGUCAAAAUCCAUAGUAUGUUUGUCACUGUUGCUAUGGGACACAGCAAUGGAAAGUAAUCAUAAUUGCUGUUUUAAAUAUGUGACUUAU
rnacentral:lncRNA from 10 species